UACGGAGGGUGCGAGCGUUGUCCGGAAUCACUGGGCGUAAAGGGCGCGUAGGCGGCCUGAUAAGUAGGGGGUGAAAUCUUGCGGCUUAACCGCAAGGCUGCCUUCUAAACUGUCGGGCUCGAGCACAGUAGAGGCAGGUGGAAUUCCCGGUGUAGCGGUGGAAUGCGUAGAGAUCGGGAAGAACAUCAGUGGCGAAGGCGGCCUGCUGGGCUGUUGCUGGCGCUGAGGCGCGACAGCGUGGGGAGCAAACAGG
rnacentral:rRNA from 1 species